rnacentral:rRNA from 1 species
AGCCUUUUCGGACUUAUAUCUUGAGCUAUUCGCAGAUUUCACCAUUGAUCUGAUUACAUCUUUCCCAUCAUGGGUUAAUUUUAGGCCGAUUUCGUUCGCUUUACGCAUGCGUGGCUUCAUCUUGCGAAGGACUGCUUUUAUUAGAUCAAAGCCAAUGGUCCACUUGUGGGUCUUAUUCUGUGCUGAUUCUGAAUAAAGUAAGCUGAUUGCUUUGCCAUUGAGUAGGUGACGUAUCUUUAUGUGUCUUCCCUAUCAACUUUCGUGGUACUUUAUAUGACUACCAUGGUCGUAACGGGUGACGGGGAAUCAGGGUUACAUUCCGGAGAGAGAGCAUAAGAAACGGCUGUCACAUCAAAGGAAGGCAGCAGGCGCGCAAAUUACCCAAUCCUAGAUCGGGGAGGUAGUGACGAAAAAUAACGAUGCCGUGAUCUUAGGAUUCGGCAAUUGGAAUGAGAACAAUCAAAAUCCUUUAUCGAGGAUCAAUUGGAGGGCAAGUUCUGGUGCCAGCAGCCGCGGUAAUUCCAGCUCGAAUAGCGUAUAUUAAAUUUGCUGCGGUUAAAAAGCUCGUAGUUGGGUGUCAGGAGAUGAACUAGGGGCUACCAAAAUUGUGUAGUCAUACCCGAGAUUCGCUCCUUUAAUUACCACUCCUAUGUGACCCCCCUUGAUGCGUAUGGCUUUGGAUUGGAUGAAACUACCUUGGGAAAAAAUAGCGUGCUCCAACCACAGCGCAAUCGUGCUGUCUACUGUGUGCAUGGAAAUAUGAGAGAAAGGGACCUUCGUUCUCGUGUUCAGUUUGAUUUCGGAAGGCUGAAGUAAAGAAUUGAUACGGGCACAAACGGGGGCAGUCGUUAUUGUGGUUUGUAGAGGUCAAAAUCUUUUGAUCCUCGCAAAGCAGAACUACGUCGACAGCAUUGGCCCAGAAUGGUUUUUCUUUCAUCACGAGCGAAAGUCUGAAGGUUCGAGAGCGAUUGCGAUUCCGUUCUUAGUUCCUAAGCAUAUGACUAUGCGCCAAACUGGGCAUCUUGUGCGUAAGCCAAUUAUGUCAUCGGACGAGAACCCAGCGAAAACAAAAGUUAUAGGUUCCGGGGGAGUAUUGGUUGCAAAUCGAACGUAACGAGAUUGGAGCGGAGGCCACACAGAUAGUGGAGCUCGCUCAAUUGGACUACCGCGGAGACUUAUCUGUGCGAGUCA